UGUCAUGCCGUCAGCAUUUACUGUUGCCAGGAAGUUCAGGACUGCAGGACGAGUGUUGAAAUUCUCCUUCUCCUGACUGCGAUCGGACAUUGACUUCAACUGCAGGCAUGAAGUUAUUACAAUACCCCAACAGUUACACUGAGGAUUCUGUCACUCAACCCACACCAGUUUGGAUUUGGAGCAUGAAACUCAAAGGGAGAGAAACAGCAGCAGCAGGAAGGGUUAAAGCGAAGGCGCAGCAGUGAUAUGAAAAACAACUACAAGAUCUGAAAGGAACUAGACAGGCACUUGAUGAAGCAAAACUGAAACCAGUAAGAAACCAUCAGAGCACAGCUGCAGUGAUAGCCACCAGCCCUGUUGUCCCUGUCCUGGAUUCAAGAGAUCCGGGAUUCAGGUGUGAAAGUGGAGACCCGGUGGCAGAAGUCUUGAGUCUGCGAGUCCACUGGGGAAUUCAGAGCCCAAAGACUGUGAGUCUGUAAGUCUGCUGGAGGCUAGAAGCCCGGAGACAGCCUGAUCUGAGGUUGGAAGCUAGAGGCCCAGAGGCAGCCUGACCUGGGAUUGGAGGCCCGUCUGCAUGUGUUAGAUGGUGUUCCUGGUGCAACCUCCUCUACAUCGGUGAGACCCAAUGCAGAUUAGGGGACUGCUUUGUUGACUUCACGCUGUUUACCACAAAAGGGCGUGCCCUGAGUUCAAGCCUGGAAUUUGGGGUCCAGUCAUUGGCCGUUCAGGGCGUUCAAUACCAAAGAUCGAAGCGCGAAGGUCGAUUGGAAGUCUGGAAGUAAAGCCCGAUGACAAAGGCUGGGGGCUGGAUACUGGAGAUUGGAGUCUUGUUCUGGAGUUGGAGUUCCCAAAUUGGUGUGGCAUGAUUCUAUGGAUUGAAAUGGAGAUUCUUGCAAGAGGUGGCUGGCAGGACAUUUACAUGGCCCAUUAAUUGAAAGAUGGAAAUAUGACAAAAUGUUUGGCAUCAAUGGGCCAAAUGGCCCAAUUCUGCUCCUAUAUCUUCUGGUCUUGUUUAAGGAUGGAUGUGCACGUGCUCCUUGGGAGGAAAGGUACCUGUUCCUGCAUUCUGCUUUUGUAGUUUUGUAGAACUCUUAACUACGAAACCAUGUUAGCUGAUGUUUGUUAACACAGUAGAAACAAAGAAAAAAAACUGCCCCCACUCUCUGUUCUGCGGGAAUUGCCCCCUUCUCAGUUCCCUUGUCCAUUCGUCCCUCCCGACGAAUCUCCAUCCAGCCACUUAUCCCUGCAAGUGGCCUAAGUGCUACACCUGCCCAUACACCUCCUCCUUCACCUCCAUUCAGGGCUGCAAGCAGAUCUUCCAGGUGAGGCGACACUUCACUUGCGAAUCUGCUGGAGUCAUCUACUGUGUCCAGUGUUCCCGACGCAGCCUCUUCAGCGGCAGUGAGACCUGUCAUAAACAGGGUGACUGCUUUGUUCAGCACCUCCGCACUACCCGCCAGAAGUAGGACUUCCCAGGGACCAAACAUUUUAAUUCCCAUUCCCAUUCCUCAUCCGAUGAACUUUGAUCCAUGGUCUCCUCUUGUGCCAAGAUGAGGCCACGCUCAGGGUGGAGGAGCAAUAUUCAAUCCAUGGACCCUUCAACUUGAUGGCACGAGUAUCGACUUCUCCUUCCGGUAAACAAAUCCCCCCACCACCCCUCUAUUCCCCACUCUGACCUUUCACUUCUUUUCAUCUUCCUAUUACUUCCCCCUGGGUCCCCUCCUCCUUCGUUUUCUUCUAUGGUCCACCCCCCUCUCUUAUCAGCUCUUGAGCUUUCCCACCCACCUGGCUUCACCUGUUAUCUACCAGCUAGUCUUCUUCCCUCCCCCCACCUUUUUAUCUUUCCUCCACCCUCUGGGGGCAUGCCUUAUUCUGAUUGUUGAAUGUCGCUGCCAUUGUGAUUGGUUAGUUUAGAAGCUCUAGCUGUUUUUCCCAUUGGAUAGAUGGCUGGUGUCCAGUUUUAAGUAUCCUGGGUAUAUAAAAUAGCCCGUGGAAGGGGCUUGUUCUCUUCUUCCUUUGUUUGAGGUGAGGCCAUUGGGAAAGUCUGAUCAGUGCAUACUUUUAACUAAGUAUGUUUGUAGAGUGAGCGUAUGUUUGUUGAGUAUUCAGCUUUGUAUUGUCUGUA